rnacentral:rRNA from 1 species
UACAGAGGGUGCGAGCGUUAAUCGGAAUUACUGGGCGUAAAGCGUGCGUAGACGGCUAUCUAAGUCGGGUGUGAAAGCCCCGGGCUCAACCUGGGAAUUGCAUUCGAGACUGAAUAGCUAGGGUACGGUAGAGGGAAGUGGAAUUUCCGGUGUAGCGGUGAAAUGCGUAGAUAUCGGAAGGAACAUCAGUGGCGAAAGCGACUUCCUGGACCAGUACCGACCGUUCAGGCACGAAAGCGUGGGGAGCAAACAGGA